rnacentral:ribozyme from 13 species
AAAUUCUAAUAAAGUGAAAGAAAGAGUGUUAGAAGGGGUGAAAAAGGCUGAAUUAUGGGAGGCUGUUUCGCCAUUUCUUUCUCGUUUGAUGUUUCUCCCUUUUUCUUUCUCUGA